CCUACGGGAGGCAGCAGUCGAGAAUCAUUCACAAUGGGGGAAACCCUGAUGGUGCGACGCCGCGUGGGGGAAUGAAGGUCUUCGGAUUGUAAACCCCUGUCAUGUGGGAGCAAAUUAAAAAGAUAGUACCACAAGAGGAAGCGACGGCUAACUCUGUGCCAGCAGCCGCGGUAAUACAGAGGUCUCAAGCGUUGUUCGGAAUCACUGGGCGUAAGGCGUGCGGAGGCUGUUUCGUAAGUCGUGUGUGAAAGGCGCGGGCUCAACCCGCGGACGGCACAUGAUACUGCGAGACUAGAGUAAUGGAGGGGGAAGCGGAAUUCUCGGUGUAGCAGUGAAAUGCGUAGAUAUCGAGAGGAACACUCGUGGCGAAGGCGGGUUCCUGGACAUUAACUGACGCUGAGGCACGAAGGCCAGGGGAGCGAAAGGGAUUAGAUACCCUGGUAGUC
rnacentral:rRNA from 1 species